CCUACGGGUGGCUGCAGUGGGGAAUAUUGCACAAUGGGGGAAACCCUGAUGCAGCGACGCCGCGUGAGUGAAGAAGGAAUCCGUUAUGUAAAGCUCUAUCAGCCGGGAAGAAAAUGACGGUACCUGAGUAAGAAGCCCCGGCGAACUACGUGCCAGCAGCCGCGGUAAUACGGAGGCGGCCAGCGUUAUCCGGAUUUACUGGGUGUAAAGGGGGCGUAGACGGCAGUGCAAGUCUGGAGUGAAAGGCGGGGGCGCAACCCCCGGAGUGCUCUGGAAACUGUACGGCUGGAGUGCAGGAGAGGUAAGUGGAAUGCCUAGUGUAGCGGUGAAAUGCGUAGAUAUUGGGAGGAACACCAGUGGCGAAGGCGGCUUACUGGACUGUAACUGACGUUGAGGCUCGAAAGCGUGGGGAGCAAACAGGAUUAGAUACCCCAGUAGUC
rnacentral:rRNA from 1 species